CUACUUGGAUAACCGUGGUAAUUCUAGAGCUAAUACAUGCGAAAAACCGCGACUUCGGAAGCGGUGUAUUUAUUAGAUUAAAGACCAAUGCCCUUCGGGGCUGACUGGUGAUUCAUGAUAACUUCACGAAUCGCACGGCCUUGCGCCGGCGAUGGCUCAUUCAAAUUUCUGCCCUAUCAACUUUCGACUUUAGUGUARKGGACUAAAGUGGUUGCAACGGGUAACGGAGGGUUAGGGCUCGACCCCGGAGAAGGAGCCUGAGAGACGGCUACUACAUCCAAGGAAGGCAGCAGGCGCGCAAAUUACCCAAUCCCGACUCGGGGAGGUAGUGACAAUAAAUACUGAUACAGGGCUCUUUUGGGUCUUGUAAUUGGAAUGAGUACAAUUUAAAUCUCUUAACGAGGAACAAUUGGAGGGCAAGUCUGGUGGACAAAUCCAGUCCCGUGCUGGCGCCAGCAAGAGCGGGGGGCCCCUGCGGGCCUUCUUUCCCGCUAGUCGAGCACCCGUUCCAUGACGGGAGGGUGCCGGCGAGACAACCUGGAUCGGGGGAGGCUAAGAGGCGCCGCCAGGCGUCUUACGUUGAUCCCGAGCAGAGCACCCGAGGAGCGAUCUUCGGGCUGCCUGUGUAGAGCGCGCAAAGGUGUCGGUCGCUCUCCCCCUCGGGGGAGGCGGCUUAAGGGACGUGCCAUCCGCCUCGAAAGAGGAUUUCCUAUCUCCAGCGCCCGUCACGCUAAGGAUAGGAAGCUGCCGGCUUGCACCGGCAGUGGGAGAUCAAUACGGCCAGCAGCCGCGGUAAUUCCAGCUCCAAUAGCGUAUAUUAAAGUUGUUGUGGUUAAAAAGCUCGUAGUUGAACCUGGGCCUCGCGCAGACCGGUCCGCCUCACCGCGUGCACUGGUCCUGCCGGGGCUUUCACUAGGGGAUUCGCAUGUCCUUCACUGGGCGUGUGCGGAACCUGGACUUUUACUGUGAAAAAAUUAGAGUGUUCAAAGCAGGCCUAUGCUCGAAUACAUUAGCAUGGAAUAAUAGAAUAGGACGUGUGGUUCUAUUUUGUUGGUUAUGGGACCGCCGUAAUGAUUAAUAGGGACAGUCGGGGGCAUCAGUAUUCAAUAGUCAGAGGUGAAAUUCUUGGAUUUAUUGAAGACUAACUACUGCGAAAGCAUUUGCCAAGGAUGUUUUCAUUAAUCAGGAACGAAAGUUAGGGGAUCGAAGACGAUCAGAUACCGUCGUAGUCUUAACCAUAAACUAUGCCGACUAGGGAUCGGGCGAUGUUACUUUUUGACUCGCUCGGCACCUUACGAGAAAUCAAAGUC
rnacentral:rRNA from 1 species